CUUGAACGCUGGCGGCAGGCCUAACACAUGCAAGUCGAGCGGAGCGGCGGACGGGUGAGUAAUGCCUAGGAAUCUGCCUGGUAGUGUGGGAUAACGUCCGUAAACGGGCGCUAAUACCGCAUACUAUCAGAUUAGCCUAGGUCGGAUUAGCUAGUUGGUGGUGUAAAGGCCUACCAAGUCGACGAUCCGUAACUGGUCUGAGAGGAUGAUCAGUCACACUGAAACUGAGACAAGGUCCAGACGACGACGGGAGGAAGCAGUGGGGAAGGGGGGAAAAUGGGCGAAAGCCUGAUCCAGACAUGCCGGGUGGGGGAAGAAGGUCUUCGGAUUGUAAAGCACUUUAAGUUGGGAGGCGGUACCAACAGAAUAAGCACCGGCUAACUUCGUGCCAGCAGCAGCGGUAAGAC
rnacentral:rRNA from 1 species